CAUACAUUGACUAAUUAAUUCUUAUGGCAGUUGUGCAGGGUAGACAAGUUUGUAUCUCCAAACUACAGACAAAAAGUUAAAGUGAUUUGCCUAAGGCUACAAAACAAGUAGUAGGAGAGAGCUUGUAUUUGUACUUUGGACCUGGACUCCUAGUCCUAUGAUCAUUCUUUGAGACCACACUGCAUCUCUACAACACUGAAUAUGCAUUGUGCUAAGAGUGAUACUGUGCAACUCUGAACUUGGGAUUCAAACCUAUGCUGCAGGGAAGGCUGUUUCAAGAGUGGCUCUGCAAGGAAAACAGAAGGAAGAAAAGGAAGGAGAGAAAGAACCAAGACAACGUUUAAACAAAAGAAGACAACUAAACCCUUUAAAUAAACUGAAAAGCCAGCUUCCUUCAAGAGUGAGGACCUGUUCACAAGGAGAGCUCUGAAUGAUGGAUGAAAAGAAUCAAAAAUUCAAGGAACAAGGGAACUAUUACUGGAGAACUAAGAAAGGAAGGAAAAGGGAAAGCAAACGGAAAGCUGCCAAACUCAAAAGGCGUCUCAAACAUUCCAACUGUAUAUCCCGGAGGUAAUCCACUCCACAGGCCCAAGGUUGUCUUUGCACAUUUGCAAUUCCUCCCCCCCCCCCUUUCCUUUUUAUGCUGAAGUGAACCAGCUGAGAUAAAGUGAAACAGAUCACAUUAAAGCCAAGGUAAAGGCUAAUAGGAAGAAUACGUUUUUGUCUUUGUCUUCGCCCCUGUUGUUCUCCAAGGUUUGAGGGAAAGCUGCUGCUCUCGCUAGUCGGACAUACAAAUUUAAUCCAGAUGUUAUGGUGACUUAAGACCUAGUGCAAGAAAGUAAAAGUGGUGCAACAGAGAUAAAGAAGCCCCUGCAAAAAACAUUCAUGGCUAAGAAAAACAAACUCCUGAAAACAAGUUCAGAUAUUUAGGAUUUCAUAUGCAUACUCCUCCUCCAAGGAACAAUUCUGUGAGCAACUCUAUUUUCUUCAGCAUUAUCGGACGUUACUUCUUCCACAGUUUGGAGUCAGCAUCUUCCUGAAGAGAUAGUACUUUUCAGAGAUUCCCCUUUUUUGGUCCCAUAAUAAAUUUCAAUGAAUUUUGCAGUGUAAAA